AUAUAUUAUAUAAACUUGUGGCCCAAAUCUCCUUGACUUCUUCCAAUGCGGCCCAGAGAAACAAAAAGGUUGGACACCCCUGGUGUAAAAAUUGUAAGUACUGAAAAUACUGGCAGUCAAUUACAAUGUGUUUUUGAAAUUUGCUUGCUGAGCAUAUGUUGGAUUACUUUAGACCAAACUUUUUCAGCUUUAAGUGUUAUAGGUAAAUAUAUGUUGUAUUUUUUUCUUACAAAAAGAAAUUAUCUUUUAUAAGUUAUAUUUUAUCUCAAUAAGAAAAUCUAGUCAACUACCUGGAUUAUAUAAAAAAGUUCUGCUCUAUUCAUUCAAGCUACAUAUUCUGUUCACACCUUCUUUUUUGUUAAGGCUUCUGCUUUCAUAUUUAUUUCUAAAACAUUAUGAAGGAAGUGCUAAAAAGUUCAAUUGGGUAUAAUAAUAUUUACAUUGAAUAUAAAGGCCCUUUACCAAUCAGAGAGCACAAAAAGGCCAAAGAAUGUUAUAAAGACAAGGGUGUCUGUGUUGGUUAGUAGAUGGAGUCCCAAGAUGGGCUCAUAAGAAAAGCUAGUCCUUUGUGAAGGCUCAUAAUAUUAUGUAUAUGUUAUGUUUCAAAUUUUAUUCUGCAUAUUGUGUUAUUUUAACUUACCAGUGUUUUUUUGAUAAAAUAAGAGGAAAAUAAAUUCAUAGAAAAGUUGCAGUUUGCAUUGCAUAACCAACCAGACCUAACCAAUUUUUCUGGGUCACUCAAAACUGCUGAAGAAAAGAAAGCAGCAGUGAGCAAUCCAUAAAAAUUUCCAGCAAAUAUAGAAUAAGAAUUUUUAUAGGAUAAAAGUACUACACCCCAUAGGGGUAGAAAAUCAGUAGCCUUCCAGGAGGACUUUAGAGGGAGUUGGCUCGCAUUUGGGAGAAAAGGUGGAGGAAACCCAAAAAACUCCACCUGACCAGCUAGGGAAAGACCAAAAACUUAGUUGAGAUACCCAACUAAGUACAGAAUGCUUAAUAAAGACAUAGGGCAACAAACAACCAAUCUCUUCCGAACAGUAUUUACUUAUUUAUUUCUUGAAUAAAAAUUAUGAAGUUUUAAAAUAUAUUUGGACUUGAAUGUUUUGAGUAACCUAGAAUUUAAUACUGCUAUAACAUUUUCU